GAUGAACGCUGGCGGUAUGCUUAACACAUGCAAGUCGAACGGACUCUUCGGAGUUAGUGGCGGACGGGUGAGUAACGCGUGAGAAUCUGGCUUUGGGUUCGGGACAACCACUGGAAACGGUGGCUAAUACCGGAUGUGCCGUGAGGUAAAAGAGAAAGUGCCUGAAGAUGAGCUCGCGUCUGAUUAGCUAGUUGGUGAGGUAAAGGCUCACCAAGGCAGCGAUCAGUAGCUGGUGUGAGAGGAUGACCAGCCACACUGGGACUGAGACACGGCCCAGACUCCUACGGGAGGCAGCAGGGGAGAAUUGUCCGAAAUGGGCGAAAGCCUGACGGAGCAAUACCGCGUGAGAGAAGAAGGCUCUUGGGUUGUAAAGCUCUUUUCUUAGGGAAGAACAAAAUGACGGUACCUAAGGAAUCAGCAUCGGCUAACUCCGUG
rnacentral:rRNA from 1 species